AUUGAACGCUGGCGGCGUGCCUAACACAUGCAAGUCGAGCGGUAACAGGUGUAGCAAUACAUGCUGACGAGCGGCGAACGGGCGAGUAAUGCUUCGGAAUCUACCCAAUGGUGGGGAAUAACCAGCCGAAAGGUUGGCUAAUACCGCAUACGUCCCACGGGAGAAAGCAGGGGAUCGCAAGACCUUGCGCCAAUGGAUGAGCCGAAGUCGGAUUAGCUAGUUGGAGGGUAACGGCCUACCAAGGCGACGAUCCGUAGCUGGUCUGAGAGGACGACCAGCCACACUGGGACUGAGACACGGCCCAGACUCCUACGGGAGGCAGCAGUGGGGAAUAUUGGACAAUGGGGGAAACCCUGAUCCAGCGACGCGCGUGUGUGAAGAAGGCC
rnacentral:rRNA from 1 species